UAACAUAGAUGUUGAUGCUGAAUAUCACUCUUGCCAGACCAAUCUUUCACCCGCUACAUGCACACGUCACACACAUGCAAAAUAAGUAUUGGAUACUCAGGACUGUUUUUAGAUGAUUGGAUUUCGGAUUACCACACAUUGCAAGAUGACAAUCAAAAUAGCAUCAUGGAAGCAAAUUGCCAGCAGAUGGAAACCAUGCCGCCCUUUGCCG
rnacentral:lncRNA from 1 species